rnacentral:lncRNA from 1 species
CUGAUGCACUGGUUAGAAACACAGCAGCGAAUAAUUCAGUUAAUUUACCAAGUAAUUUACCCUUCAAAGCUACAGGGGUAGCUUUCCUGAAGAGUGAAAAAACUUCUUUAGCUUUCAAAAUGGUAUAUAGUACAAACAGUGAAGCUAAUAUAGACACGUAUGGAUAAUUAAAAUAGAUUAAUAUUCUUAAUACACCAAGUUUUGUAUAAUUACAGAUCUGAUCAUUCAUCAUCAACAAUAACUGCAUCUGAGAAUUAUAGUUCUACAGUAACCAUGGAGUCUAGGUCAACAAUUACUAUUUCUCAUCCAAGCCGUUUUUGUUUAACUGCUACACAUUCCCUGACUCUGCCAAGGAAAAGGGUAAAAUCAAAAUGAUAUCCUGAGGACCUAAGCACUGAUGAUUCCACCGUUUCAAGAGCUUAAUCACUUGUCACCAGAUUAUGGAAAAAAAAUAUAGAACAAAAAAUUAAAAUUCGAAGAUUGCAACAAGCAAAUUUGCGCCAAAGAAAUUGAAUUAGAUGUCUCAAGUCAUUAUUAAAAUA